GCCCAUCAAUCGUGUAAAGAAAAGAAAAAAACCUGAACGUGAUACUCGUCUCUCCUCAGUCAGAGACGCUGAAAAGUCCGGUUGUGAUCCUUCUCCCUUCAAAAUGGUUCCAGAAUCAAAAACGCUGCUGUUCUUCCCGAUGGUACUCGGGAACACCAUAAAUAUCCAUGUGGAGAUUUUGAGUCGGCUGAGGCAACGUCUACAGCUUCGUGAAGCGUAUGCAGAGAACCACGGUGACGUCAUCAUCGCUUUUGUCCCAGUUGUAUCUCGGGCAGGAACGGACAUUGAAGCUGCUCUUCAGAGGAUCCCGAGAACGGGUCAGCCUGUUGUUCUCAUGGUGCUCCACUUCACAUUUGAUGAGAAUUACAUGGCUCCAAACAGCACCUGGAACCUAGACAGGGAUGAUGUAUUUGCUGUGGAUUUGCUCUGUUAUGAAGACAUUGGACUGCUCAGAUCCCAACGCAAUGAUGAGGCAUUGAAAGCUGUCACUGAUCAUCUGAUCUCUAAAGGAGCUUCACCCAAUACCCAGCUACAAACAACCGGAUCACAGACACAGUGUAAUCCACUGGUAUUCAUCUUCUGUUUCAUUUUUGUUAUUUUAAUAGCGAUAGCCAUUGGUGUUGGUUUUUACGUGAAGACAUGGGUAAAUCACGAUAAUAAUACUAAUACCACAGGCGGUUGACCAGUAUGAAAUACAUUUGAUUGAUUUCUGUAAAUUAGCUACAGUUAAAUUACUGUAGAAUUUUUUUUUUUUUGGGACGGUUUUAACAAGUAAUGUGCGAACAUUAAACAAUUCUAGUACAACAACAGAAGACUUUCUUGUACAUAACAUCCAUUGUUACAUUUAACGUAUAUUAAAAAUGAAAAGGCAGAACAAAGACACAAGGACCUUAAAGUGUCAGAUAUAUGAUUAUAAAUGUAUAUAUCAGUCUUAUGAAUUAUUUUCUUUUCUUUUUUUCUUUUCCUUUUCUUUUCUUUUCUUUUUUUUUUUUUUACCUUUAAUCAGCAAUAUUUCACAUGCUAGGGCUUAAAUGAAAUGAGUAUUGUGUGACUAUGCAUGUAAGUGACCUGUUAAAUAAAAUGUACAUAGCCUACUACUGUAUGCAUUUCUGUAUGAACAGGCUUUCACAAAAUAUGACUGAGAAUAUAUUACAGAUUUUUCUGUGAAAUAUUCAAUUAAAUAUAUCCACAACAUUAUUUUACAACGUUAUCUAUAUGCUCAUUAUAUGAGAAUUCCUUGGCUCACAAAACAAUAAAGCAAUUAGUAGUAUUAAGGACAGACAGGCAAAUAGUUUACUCAUCUAGUCAUAAAAUUCAUGUAACACUUUUACUUUAUUACCACAGACAUCUGUUUUUCUUUUCUGCCGAUAUAGUUGUGAAAGGAUCUAUCCGAAAAGAGUCGAUUCCCUAAUAGACACUGGGAAUAGUGGUGAGUUGAUGUGUCGUUUACGAAUGAGUGGGCGUUUUAGAUGAACGCUGGGAACCGACUCCUAGGUCUGAAGAGCCGUUUAGAUGAUUCAGUAGCUGAGAAAUAACAGUGGAAAGGCAUUCGAGUGUUUAAUAUUGAGAAUAAAGUCUUGAAGGGCUUAUGUUAAUAUUUCAGUAAGUAAGACGUGAGGAGAAAUUCAGCCGAAUAAAAAAAAAACAAUGGAAGAGAUAUAAAGGUGGUCCUACUGAGUCUUGUGAGUCGAUUCAUGUGUAAAAUCGAAAGUGAAACGGAUUCACGAGCACAAACGCUGCAGAUCUGAACACCGUUGUGUCUGACUCCAAGAUGCUGCGAGGUUUGUCAAUCUAUUUUCCUUAUUAAUUAUGAUAGACCUGUGAUAAAUGUAGCACGGUGUUAAAUACGACAAACUGUACAAUAUAUAAGCAUUCAUCUCUUAAUAAUCAACCACUCACAAAUAAUGAUUAUUAUUUCAUCUUGCAGCUGUAACAUAUGCAGAUAUGAUUAUAGGAUAUAGUUAUAGGAUAUAAAUGAUAUUCUCUGUCAUGUGUUCCGUAAUAUUAAUAAAUGACAGGUUUGGUGAAUGCUACACACACACACACACACACACACACACACACACACAAUAAUAAUAAUAAUAAUAAUAAUAAUAAUAAUAAUAAUAAUAAUAAUAAUAACGCCAUGAUUAGUGUGGUUUGGUGUGGUUUAAUAUCGGAUCUAACAUGAAUUUCAUCACGUCAUUUCUUAAGUUGAACAAAUGUUUGCUAGUAACCCGGGUAGCAUCACAUUAAUGUAUACAAGAACAAGAAGACAAGGGUUAAAAUAUAGAAUAAUAUUGUAUUGUAUAGUUUGUAUAGUUGUUGUGUGUACUGAGUUGAUCACUGCUCCAAGUGCACAGUUUAAAUCAAGGGCACAGCUGCUGUGAUAAACAUGUCUUAAAUUUUCCAUGAUGUCAUUUUUAAGGGGAAAAGAGUUUAGAGCUUAAAGGCUUCUGUUAAGAGACAUUCAAUCCCUUAUACCUAACUUAUAUUUAUAUUCACUUUUACAGUCGUUGACAGGGACUUUUAUCCAGAGUGACUUGCCACUGGAGAGCUAUAAAACACAACAAUACCAAAAAAAGGUUUCGUUACAUAUUGAUAUCAUAUAUUCCAAGGAAAAAAGGACAUGGGCCAAGGCGACAAGCGUUCCCCAAGACUGAGGGCAAUUAAAAAUAUUCAUAUUUUUAUUUACAAAAUGGUUUUCAUGAGAGUGAUUUUUUGGGUGUACGUAUUAAAUAAACAGUGCAGUUAUUGUUUGCCUUAUCUUAUAGCAGCAUGUGGGAUGGUGAACUCUGAAAUGGAGGUGAACUUUGAUCAGCUGAUCACCACUUUUGUGUGUGUGUGUGUGUGUGUGUGUGUGUGUGUGUGUGUGUGUGUGUGUGUGUGUGUGUGUGUGGCUCCUGCUAAAUGCUGUGCAUAACCAAAACUGAAAGUAGUGGUUGAGUCCAUUAGCCGUCUUUAGGGACAGUCUCAAGGAAACGAGGAGCACAAACAACCACAACGAUUCUGAAAGGCUCGUUAUCAGUCUUCCUCCAGAAUGCUUCAAGGAACAAAAACACGCCUUUUCUCAACCAAUGAAAGUAGGAAAUUCUUGGAUGUCCAAAGUAAGAUUGAGGAACGGUUGAAGAAACGCCUUCAGCUCCAUCAAGUGGAUUCAGAGGAUUAUUGUGAUGUCAUCAUGGCUUUUGUACCCAUUGUGUCCCGGGCUGGAACAGACAUUGAAGCUGCUCUUCGAAAUAUUCCAACAAAUCGGCCUGUCAUCCUCGUGGCGCUCCACCACACGUUUGAUGAAAAUUACAUUGCACCACAGAGCAAAAGGUGUGUGGAUAGGGAUGGUGUAUUUGCUGUAGACUUCCUCUGUCAUGAAGAUAAGGGACUGCUGGAAUGCUUGACCAAUGAGGAGGCACUGAAAUCCGUCAGUGAUUAUCUGGUCUCUAUGGGCCCCAGUACCCCGCAGCUUAUACCAGUUCAUCCAUGGCCAUCCCGAAGAUGCUGUAUCUGUUUGGGUGUCUCUGCUUUUGUUGUUGUUGUUGUUAUUGGGCUAGUUAUUCCCUUUCUCAUUCCGAAAAGUGACGGACAUGGUGACACUCAAACUACGGUGAUACCUCCUAUAACUGUAGCUACACAUCAGCAUAACAUAACUGAAACUACACAUCAGUCUAACAUAACUGUAACUACACAGCAGUCUAAGAUAACUGUAGCUACACAGCAGCGUAAGAAACGAUCCCUUCAGAGAGGCCGAGGCUAAUUCAUUAGUUUGGUGAACACCCAAGACUGUUGGGUUCGAGAUGAAAAGAUGGAGAUGAAACGAGAGGUUAGGAUUUCAGCUUUUAUUUCCUGGUGUUUACAUCUAGACGUGUUAAACAUAAAACAUACAACCUUUUGUAUCAGACCACCCACUUUUUAGGUGAGCAAAAGUAUAGCAACAGAUAAGUCUUGAAGUAAAUGAAAGUAAAUAACACUUAACAUUCGGCUGCGUGUCCCUUGUUUGCAAAAACUCAUCAAACUGCAUCAAUCCUGUGACUCACUGACACUUGUGUUGCUUUUCCAGGUUUUUACUGCAGCUUCUUUCAGUAGUCGUGUGUUUCGGGGGUUUCUCCCUUUAGUCUCCUCUUCAGGAGGUGAGACGCUGAUCAGUUGGGUGAAGGUCUGGUGAUGAACUUGUCCAGUCUAAAACCUUCCACUUUCCCCCUGAUGAAGUCCUGUGUUGAGGUGGAAGUGUGUUUUGGAUCGUUGUCUUGCUGCAUGAUGAAGUUCCUCUGAUUCAUUCGGAUGGAUUUCUCUGUAAAUCUGCAGACAGAAUGUUCCUGUACAGUUCUGAAUUCAUUCUGCUGCUCCAUCAUGAGUUCAUCAAUAAAGAUUAGUGAGAAUGUUCCAAAAGCAGCCGUGCAAGUCCAAGCCAUGACACUACCUCCACCAUGUUCCACAGAUCAGCUUGUAUGUUCUGGAUCAUGAACAGAUCCUUUCUUUCUCCACACUUUGGUCUUUCCAUCACUUUGGUAGAGGUUCGUCUUGUUCCAGAACUUUUGUGGAUCAUCUCUGUAUUUCUUUGCCAAUUCCAAUUUGACUUUCUGACUCGUACUGCUGAUGACUGGUUUGCAUCUUGUGGUACGGCCUCGAUAUUUCUGCUCUCGAAGACUUCUUCAAACGGUGGCUUGUGAUGCCUUCAAUUCUGCCCUGUGGAGCUUGUUGGUGAUGUCACUGACAGUUGUUGUUGGGUUUGUCUUCACAGCUCUCUGUCGUCACCUGCUGUUGUUUUCCUUGACUGACCCGUUCAGUGUCUGUUUCUCAGUACACCAGCGGUUUCUUUCAUUUUCAUGACAUUCCAAAUUGUUGUAUUGGCUUUACCCAGUGUUUCUGCAAAGGCUUUGAUAGAUUUUCCCUCUUUCCCAGCUUCAAAAUGGCUCGCUUUUCUCCCCUAGACAGCUCUCCGAUCUUCAUGUUGGCUUAUCCUUUAUAACAACAUAUGCAGUCUUCACAGGUGAAACUGAAGAGUAGAUGUUCAGAGCUAUUUAUUGUUUAAACAGUCGAUCUAACAGGACACGCCUGGGGAACAAGAAACACCCGUCAGUCACGUGUUCCAAUGUUUUUGCUCCCUUACAAAUUGGGUGGUCUGAUACAAACUGUGCUAUGUUCUGUAUCUAUAUAUAAAUACCAGGAAAUAAAAGCUGAAAUUCUAAACUCUCUUCUCAUAUUCCUCUUUUAAUCUCAAAAGCAAAUGUCUUCACUCUACAGUGAAAACAAUUUAAUUGGCCUUGCCGUCCCAAUAUUUUUGCAGGGGGACUGUAACUGUGACUAUAUAGCAGCUUAAUAUAAUGGUAAUAAACAUUAACUUAACAUACUGGCGAAUAAACAGCAGCCUAAUAUAACUCUAAUUAUACAGCAGCCUGACAUAAUGGCAACGAAAUAGCAACGUAAUCUAACUAUAACUGCACAACAAACAUAAAAUAAACACUAAUCUUUCUUCUAAAUACUUUUUAAAAUUUCAUCAAUUCUUUUGAAUCAGCUUCAUUUUCAUUACAGUUAGAACUUUUCCUUUCAAACCUUAUGAGUAUUUUGACAUCAAUCAUUAUGCAAUCAUCCUAACAUAUACUUUAUAUACAUAUAAAGGAUUCUUUGAUUAAUAAAGGUUUCAUGUAGAACCUUACAACAGAGAUUUUCUGUUUCUGAGAGGGUUCUAGGUUGAACCACUGUUAGGGUGUAGUAAAUGAAGAAUUGCUUACGCAAAACUAGUAUGACUUGAUAUUACCUUGUAAUUGUUCAUAAGUUUAAGAUUACCUCCACUAUAUUUAAUGUUACUCCACUAUAUUUUGUAGUUUCUAUAUUUAAUGCUUAUUAAAUGCACAGAACAUUAAAAUCGGAAACGAAGUCUGACAAGAAUGUAACAGAAUAUAACAAGACUGAAUCUGUGUGUAAAGACUUCAUGAAUGUUUGUUUCUAAUCAAUAAAAUUCUCAUACGCUUAUGCUAAAAGGUAAUGUGAUGUUUGUGAAAAUAAAACAAAUAAAAUAAAAAAUAAAAACCUUUA